CCUAGUCUUAGCCUGCCUAGAAGAUCUCCGGCGACGCUUUGUCGGCGGCGAGGGAGGAGACUUUCCGGAGUCUCGAAGGUUCUGAAAGGAAGCGAUGGAGUGAGAAAUGGAGUUAUGGAGAGAGGGAGGGAGAGAAGAAGAGAGAGGUGAGGAGGGGGUGAUGCCAUGAAUUAAGCUCUUGAGAGAGGCUUUUGCUGACCUCAACCCUAGCUUUGUAGCAGAGGAGAGGAAGGACUCCGGCGACGCUUGGAGAGAGGAUCGAAGCCUCUUGUCCAUGGGAGGGGUGGUUUGGGAAUUUUGAUGUUCUCUUCGGCUUCCCCUUUAGAGUGAGUUUUUGAAUAUGGGAGGAGAGAGGUGAGAGAAGGAGAACGUCACUUGCCGGUGAUGCGUUCUGAAUGACGGGCCAAUUAAAAGUGUGAGUGUGGUGGAGAAUGAGGACUUUGAAACGACUUCGACCUCGUCGUUUUACUCUUGUUAAAGCUGUGAUUUGCCUGUCUUUUUUAAUGGACCGCCAAUACCGUAUAUAUAUCUUAUAAAUUUCGAAUUCGUUGAUGGCGCGCUAUUAGUAAUUAUAGUCGUACCCUCAAUCACCCGAAUUGAGGAUCAAAGAGUUAACGUACAUUUAAGCUUGGGUAUGGGAUGCCGAAUCAUUAAUUUCCAGAAAAUACUUGUCUAAAAAUGUGAUAAAUCAGAUAGUAAUUAUUUUCCUAAAAAUUAAGGUUAUAUCUUCCAAAAACGUAUCAAGAAAAAAAAAUAUUAUGGUUACGUUUGGCUUCCAGAAAAUUUGAGAGAAGAUAUGAACAAAAUAAAAAGCUAAGAAGAGAAAAAAAUGAAAAUAAUAAUAAUAAUAAUAAUAAGUUUAUGUUGUAAAAUAAAGUGAGAGAAGAAGAAAGCUAAAAAGAGAGAAUAAAAUGUUUGAGAAAACUAUAUUGAAUUUUAUUAGGGAUCCUUCCAUUUUAUAGGGAGUUAUACAAGAUAUUUAUAGAUGAUCAUCCACAAGUUGUCAGUGGUACAUAAUCUCAUAUUUUUAUGACACCCUCCUUGGAUGAUCAUAAGAAUAUGUGUCAUUAAAAUCUUAUUAAGAAAAACCUUAUGGGAAAAACCCUAGUGAAGGAAAAAAAGUAUAAUAUUCUUUUGGAUUACUACAAUUGCAUCGUUAAAAACCUUGCCAAUAAAACUCAAUAGGACAAAACCUGGAUGAAGGAAAAAAUAGUGCAGUGUAGUGAUAUUCUUAUCAAUCAGUUCCCCCUCAUGUUGACAUGAUUAUAUUUUCUCUAGUAGUACAUCAUAAAUAUUUUUGAGUCAACGUAUUCCAAUGAGUUUCUUGAGUAUUGCAGUUGACAAUGCCUUUGUGGAUAUAUCUACUAAAUUGUCACUUGAUCUUAUUCGUCGAAUAACAAUUUCAUCAUUCUUCUGGAGUUAAUGAAAGUAAAAGACUUGAACAAUAUAUGCUUAAUUCUAUCACUCUUAAUGUAUCAUUCUUUAAUAUGUGCAAUGCAUGCAACAUUAUUAACUUGGUAGCAUUACCUCUGAUGGAGGGUAGUCCGCAUGUUUCCAUUAUUUGCUUGAUUGAUCUCCACGAUAUUGUCGUACCACCAUAUAUAAAUACAUACCUCAUUUGAGAUCGAACUUUGUGGGGGGUCUGAAAGAUAGUUAACAUCUACAUAUUCAAGCAAUUAAGAUUUUGAACAUUCAAAAUAACAUAGACCCAUGUUAUUGUCGUACAUGAUUGACUUUAUUCCAAUGUCUCUGAGUUGGUGAAGAACUAUAUCCCAUAAGUAAAUUAACAAGGAAUACAAUAUAUGGUCAUGUAUAAUUUGCAAGAUUCAUCGGUGCACUAAUAAUAUUGUAAUAUGGUACUUUUAAACCAAGUAGUUUUUCAUUAUCUUCUUUAGGACAAAAGAGGUCAUUUUUCACUUUAAGUGAAUGAACUAUCAUUAGAGAAUUUAAUGGAUGUGAUUAACCCAUAUGAAAGUGCUUCAAAACUUUCUUAAUGUAUGUUGAUUGAUGUACUAAAACUCCAUUUGAAAAUGCUCGAUCUACAAGCCGAGACAAAAUUUUGUUUUUCCAAGAUCUUUCAUCUCAAAUUCCCUUUUCAAGUAAUUUGUUGUUCUUGUAAGCCCUUCAGGAGUUGGAGUUCCAACAAGAUUUAAGUCAUCAACAUACACUGCAAUAAUUGCAAAUCCGAUUUUUGAUUUCUUAAUGAAGAUGCAUGGGUAUAUAGGAUUAUUCAUAUACCAUUCUUUUAGCAAGUAUUCGCUAAGGUGAUAGUACCACAUGUGUCCAGAUUGUUUUAAUACAUACAAGGAUUGUUGUAACUUGAUCGAGUACAUGCUACGAGACUUUAUACAAUUUGCUUCAGGCAAUUUAAAUCCUUCAGGGAUUUUCAUGUGUAUAUCAUUAUCCAUGGAUCCGUAUAAAUAUGUUGUAAUAACAUCCAUGAGACACAUAUCUAGUCUUUCUUAGACUAUCAAACUAAUUAAGAAACGAAAUAUGAUUGCGUCCAUGACGGAAGAGUAUGUUUUCCCGUGAUCAAUACCAGGUCUCUACAAGAAACCUUGUGCUUACUAAUCGAGCUUUAUAUCUUAUGAUCUCAUUAUUCUCAUUGUGUUUUUAUACAAAUACCCAUUUGUACCCAACAUGCUUUACAUCUUCAGGUGUUUGGACUAUAGGCCCAAAAACUUCUCGUUUUGUUAAUGAGUUUAACUCUGCUUGCAUAGCUUCUUUCCAUUUUGGCCAAUUAUUUUUAUGUUAGCAUUCUUCCACAUUUUGUGGUUCAGGAUCUUCAUCAUUUCUUAUGAUAUUAGAGGUCACUUGGAAAGCGAAAAUAUUGUUAAUAAUAAUAUUAUUUUGAUCCAAUUUUUUUCCCGUGUAUACAUAACUUAUUGAGAUUUCACAAUUUUCAGGUACCUAUAACUUUUCAGGGGCUUCUCGUUCAAUAUGUGCCUCUUCAAGGACUUCUUAUUCAAUAUGUGCAUCUUCAAGGGCUUCUUAUUCAAUAUAUGCAUAUUUAGAGGCUUUCUGCAUUAUUUGUGCCUCUUCUAGGGCUAUAGAUUUAUUAAUUUUAAACUGAUAAAUCAUUUUGAUGGUCCUCNNNNNNNNNNNNNNNNNNNNNNNNNNNNNNNNNNNNNNNNNNNNNNNNNNNNNNNNNNNNNNNNNNNNNNNNNNNNNNNNNNNNNNNNNNNNNNNNNNNNGGAGUGAGAAAUGGGAGUUAUGGAGAGAGGGAGGGAGAGAAGAAGAGAGAGGUGAGGAGGGGGUGAUGCCAUGAAUUAAGCUCUUGAGAGAGGCUUUUGCUGACCUCAACCCUAGCUUUGUAGCAGAGGAGAGGAAGGACUCCGGCGACGCUUGGAGAGAGGAUCGAAGCCUCUUGUCCAUGGGAGGGGUGGUUUGGGAAUUUUGAUGUUCUCUUCGGCUUCCCCUUUAGAGUGAGUUUUUGAAUAUGGGAGGAGAGAGGUGAGAGAAGGCGAACGUCACUUGCCGGUGAUGCGUUCUGAAUGACGGGCCAAUUAAAAGUGUGAGUGUGGUGGAGAAUGAGGA
rnacentral:lncRNA from 1 species